rnacentral:tRNA from 1 species
UCCGGCGAAGCAUUUCGGGUGAUGCACUUGCCUUGUAAGCAUGGGAACGGGGUUCGAUUCCUCGCGCCGGAGCCA